rnacentral:rRNA from 1 species
UGGGGAAUUGUUCGCAAUGGGCGCAAGCCUGACGACGCAACGCCGCGUGGAGGAUGAAGAUCUUCGGGUCGUAAACUCCUUUCGAUCGAGACGAAUAGCCUUCGGGUGAACAAUCCGGAGGAAUGACGGUACCGAGAGAAGAAGCCCCGGCUAACUCCGUGCCAGCAGCCGCGGUAAUACGGGGGGGGCAAGCGUUGUUCGGAAUUACUGGGCGUAAAGGGCUAGUAGGCGGCCAACUAAGUCAGACGUGAAAUCCCUCGGCUUAACCGGGGAACUGCUUCUGAUACUGGAUGGCUUGAGUUUGGGAGAGGGAUGCGGAAUUCCAGGUGUAGCGGUGAAAUGCGUAGAUAUCUGGAGGAACACCGGUGGCGAAGGCGGCAUCCUGGACCAACACUGACGCUGAAUAGCGAAAGCCAGGGGAGCAAACGGGAUUAGAUACCCGCGUAGUCC